CACGUAGGGGGCGAGCGUUGUCCGGAUUUAUUGGGCGUAAAGAGCUCGUAGGCGGUUUCGUAAGUCGGGUGUGAAAACUCCAGGCUCAACCUGGAGACGCCACCCGAUACUGCGAUGACUAGAGUCCGGUAGGGGAGCGUGGAAUUCCUGGUGUAGCGGUGAAAUGCGCAGAUAUCAGGAGGAACACCGACGGCGAAGGCAGCGCUCUGGGCCGGUACUGACGCUGAGGAGCGAAAGCGUGGGGAGCGAACAGG
rnacentral:rRNA from 1 species